GACGAACGCUGGCGGCGUGCCUAAUACAUGCAAGUCGAACGCAGUGGGGACGGGUGAGUAACACGUGGGUAACCUCCCAUCAGAGGGGAUAACACUUGGAAACAGGUGCUAAACCGAUACUGCUGGAUCGACCCGCGGUGCAUUAGCUAGUUGGUGAGGUAACGGCUCACCAAGGCCACGAUGCAUAGCCACCCGUGGAGGUUGAUGGACCACCUGGGGACUGAUACACGACCCAGACGCCUACUGGAGGCAUCAGUAGUGAAUCUUCGGCAAUGAACGAAAGUCUAACCAAACUGCGCCGCGUGAGUGAAGAGGGUUUUCGGAUCGUAAAACUCUGUUGUUAGAGAAACGUUAUCUAACCAGAAGGCCACGGCUAACUACGUGCCAGCAGCCGCGGUAAUUC
rnacentral:rRNA from 1 species